rnacentral:tRNA from 1 species
CGGGAUGUAGCGCAGUUUGGUAGCGCACAUGGCUUGGGACCAUGGGGUCGCCAGUUCGAAUCUGGCCAUCCCGA